GCUUGACCUCGGAUCAGGUAGGGAUACCCGCUGAACUUAACAU
rnacentral:rRNA from 1 species